rnacentral:lncRNA from 1 species
UUGGCCAUUAUAACUCCUGGAAGGAUGUUUCUCCCCCCUUUCUGGCACAUCAAACUAUUGCUGCCCGUCUCUAGUAGGAUAGUCGGAUCGUUGUGCCUGAGUAUCGAAUGAUAGAAAAUUGGUGGAGAAGGACCGCUCGGUGGAGAGAGAGCACAGUCGAGAGAGUCGAGAAUGAGAGCAACAGCUCACGGUCUAUUGAACGGAGGCAGGAUCAAC